UAUAUACUCUGCAGAAUGUAUAUGACACCUUUUAAAAAUAGUACCCUUUUUCCAAAAAAAAAAAAGUCUGUUAUGCAAAAUGUUGGCCUGGUGCUGUGGCUCAUGCCUGUAAUCUCAGCACUUUCGAGACUGAGGCAGGCAGAUUACUUGAGGUCAGGAGUUCAAGACCAGUCCGGCCAAAAAUGGUAAAACCCUGUCUCUACCAAAAAUACAAACAUUGGCUGGGUGUGGCGGUGGCAGUGCCUGUAAUCCCAGCUACUCAGGAGAGUGGAGGCUGAGGCACGACAAUAGCUUGAACCUGGGGGGGCGGAGGUUGCAGUGAGCCAAGAUAGCACCAUUGUACUCCAGCCUGGGUGACAGAGGGAGACUCCAUCUCAAAAAAAUAGAAAAAAAGUUAACCAAAGACAGCAUUUCUCAGACUUGAAACAUCAUUUUGUCUCUGAACUGGUAACAAAUGUCAGACUUGGAGUUAGGGUUUUCCUCUCUGACAUCUCUCCCCAGCUCAAUCUUAAGCUCAGGACCAUUUUAUUGUGUUAAGACUGAAGGCAUUAAUUAUCUAAAUCAGGAUAGGAAAACAUUAAAUGGCUGAGACCUAAAUUCCAGUAAUAUCUUUGCUGAUGACAGGGAGAGUGUGAAAGAUACAGAAUCAGUCAUACAAUAGCGGAAUAUGGCAUAUCUCUCCCUCAGUGUGAGCUGGACAUGACAAGUUCUCAGAUUUCCCUCAAUCUCCAUUUUGUUGUCUUUCCUGGUUGUUUCUGGGCCCCCACAAAAGACCUUUGCGGUCCAGGUGUAAAGGGAUCCAUGUUUUUGCUUGUUUCCUUCCUACCUUUUUGAUGAUCUUCUGUCUCCCUUUAAGUCCGUAUCUCAACCUAGACCUCUGUGCAAAGCCAUGGUGACUUCAGAGCUUUUGACGUGCUGCAUCUGAUACUUCCUGUUCUAACAACACUCAGCCCGUGUUCUUCUCCAGUCUUGUCCCUUAACAAAACCUCCUCUGACCUGAGCAUAGUUCUGAAAAGUGACUCCAGAGACUGAUAAAAUCAUUUGUGUGACAAUGAUAUUAAAUGCAGAUGGCAUUGUGUAUUAUGUCUCCAGUGAACUAUGAUAUAUACAACAUAUACUGCUUUAAUCAUGCAAUAAAUGCAUGGCUCAAUAUUCAGUUAUGAAAUAUUUGCUAUGAAGCUGACAUUUUAGAAGUCCUUUAAUUAAAUAAUUGGCAUAAUUCCACCCUGCUCUGAUUCUUUCUUUGUAAAAUUUAUAUAGCUAUCAUUUUACCCUCAGGCAUUUUUUGGACUCUCUGUCACCCUUUGGAUUAUAAAGGCAGUUUCAAGAGAGAAGCCUUGGUUAAUCGUGAUGGGGUCUUCUGUUAUAUAAAUGAUGUUGAUAUAUAAAUAUAACAUGUAUAUAUGUAAAUACAUAUGUGUGUAUGUGUAUGUGUGUGAGUGCAUGUUAUAUAUCUAAACAGAAACAAGUUCCCAAGUUCACACAGACUGGCUUAUACUCAAGUGUUCUGAUUUUAGAUCCUAAGUUUUGUGGAAUUGCAUUUUUUAGACAGCCCUAAGAAUAGACAAAAAAAAAAAAAGGUAAAAUAAUUGAAUAAAGUUGGUAGUUUUAGUCAGUUUGUUACAUAAUUGAAAAGUUGACAGAUGUUUACUGAAUUUGUACAUUAGAUUUGGAUGAUUUUCCCUAGAAUACAGGCCAUAUGUCAAACAGAAACUUAAGAAAGGGAGCUGUAAGAAGAGAGACGUGGUCGUACUCCAGAAAAGCCAAUGUAGAGGAACGGUAGUUGCCAAGCUGGACGGUGUGGCGGGGAGGGUUGAACUGUAUGCUGUGUUCAGAAUUUGCUUUGGGGAGUCCCAAAUAGAGAGUAGGGGCUUAAAAAGGCAGGCAACCCUCCCCUCCCUCAGCUAAAGUGGCCCUCGGGAGCUGGAGUAGGGAUUUCUAUCAUUGCUAACGUUACUGAAGCCUGGAUCCCUAGUUCCUUGGCUCUCACAUAAGUAAUAGAAAUGAACUCUAGGCCAAACAAAUAUUGUCAGGCAAAAUUGAAUUGGCUUAAGUCUCAACCACAGCAAGGGAGCAUUGGCCCAGUGCUAGCUGCUAGCUCCCCAAAGGGCUCAGCUCUUCUUAUUUUAAGGAAGCUGGGACAUGAAAAGGAGCCCCUGGAGGCAGACGGAGGCCGGGAAUUUUCAGCACUUGCACUAUAGGAUAACACGCUUCUUCAAGCAUCAUAUGUCUCCCUAGCAUGUUAAAUCUUCACCCCUGGGUGUGUUUUUAGUAUUUUAAUGAGAUUAUAAUGAGGAAAAACUCAGGGUAGGUCGGUGCUGAGUCCACCUCCUCUUUAGCUUGCUGUGUCUGGUCCCGUUCUUACCAGGAAUGCUGGUCUCACUUCAACAAACUUGGAAGAGGGCCAGAUUCUUAUGGGGAGUGCUGGGGUUCCAUUUCAGCAAUCUUGAGGGACAUCACUCAAGGAAGUAAAGGGUUAGGCUCUUCCUUUUAUGGUGAGGAAUUUAGCUUGCUUAGCUAAGUUAGGAGGGGGUCGACUUGCUAAGAGAGGCAAAAGUAAGGAGUUUGCUUGGACAUAUUAGGUAUAUUAGGAUCCUGAGCACUGCGUCUCCUGUCUGCUGUCUCAUCCCUAUGCUCUUUCACCAAGAUGCCAAGAACAAAAAGCCAAGGCUCGUAGGACAUGUGAACACAUGGACAAGUGGCACCCACACCAGGCCCGCUGAAAGAGCACCAUGGAAAAUGCUGAGGACAGAUGGUACUGCCCAUGUACACAGGGAUACAGUAGGACCGAAAGCCAAACUCAGGGGAAAUUUUCUUCAUCCUUGGGCCUGGGGCAUUUAAAGUGUGAAGAGGGAAGCACGACACCCCCCAGGACCUUAACUCCUCACCCAUGUUACCAGCUAAGCUUUGCUGCAUGAUGAGCACAGGAUUGGCAGGGAGGCACUUGGGGCUGGAGUCCAAGCCCGGCCAUUUCAGCUGGGCAUGUGGCAAACUCGUGAGAGGAGUUGUCACAUCGGUAUUCACAGUUGGGAAAGCACCAGCUUUAAUUCUAGCAUUACCUUAGGAUCGGUCUGAAUUUAUUGUCUUAAACCCAGAGCCAUACAUGUUCGUGGGGCCUGAAGGAGGCCAACCCUGUCUCUGGGGUAGACACAUUAACCUCGACCCCUCACAGUUUACUCAUCUAUUAGCUCCAUGUUGAUAGUCAAUAUGAAACUUAUCCAAUUGUCCACAGAACUGAUAGUUAGAUUUUUUAAAAGAAACAUAGACAUUGACACUCCUAGUCUUAAAACUUGAGAAACUUACAUUUGUCUUGUCUGAGUUUCUUUCUCAGGAAAACAACCAUCAGGCCCACCGCUGAUUUCAAGGAACUGAAAUUCUCCAGAUCGCUGCAUCGUCAUGACUGCCAAAUGAACCACCUGUUGUCUGCCGACCAACUACUUGUCCUUACCCCUCCCUAAUUGCUGUUUUUCCACAGAAAACUGUAAACGUCAAGGAAGCAAAAGUCACAGGUGCGGAGUGCACCAUCUUUAAAUUUAGGGUGAGCCAGUGAUAGCAGCUGCCACCUGUGAGUUGCUGUGGACUCUUGCUCACUACUGCCUAUUUCAGGAUAAAUAGGUGUGUUUGAAUCAGCUGAUUUCUGUUACUGGAGUGCAGCAGUACUGCAGAGCUCCCGAGCUUUGAAUCAAGCAACGCAGAAGUCUUCCUAACAGGUUCCUUCCUACUUGUUAUUUUGCUGUUCAUUGCUAUGAAUUAUCACACCUCAUUCUGGAAAAAAAACAAACAAAGCAGGUUUUCCAAAGUCAGGAAAAUCUCACGCAUAUUUCCAGCGAAGACCUUAUAUUCUACCCCAUCUCAGUUUCCUGGCCUAACAGGAAGGAGGAGACUUCUCCAGUAUCACAAAGCGGAUCAGGCAUGGAGACCGAGUCUCUGACUCAUAACGCUAGAGUAUUUUGUUUUGCAGUUGUGAACUGGGGUGGACACUCACUGCAUGUAUUCCCUUUAAGAUGCCUGCUUUUGCACAUUUAUGGAACCAACCUAAUUGCCCAUCAGUUGAGUGGUAACGAAAAUAUGGUACAUAUACACCAUGGAAUACUGCUUCUUUAGUUAUAAAGAAGAAUGAAACAGGCCUGGCCCGGUGGCUCAUGCCUGUAAUCCCAGCACUUUGGAAGGCUGAGGGGGGCUGAUCACAAGGUCAGGAGUUUGAGACCAGCCUGACCAACAUGGUGAAACCUUGUCUCUAAUAGAAAUACAAAAAUUAGCCAGCUGUGGUGGGCACCUGUAAUCCCGGCUACUCAGGAGGCUGAGGUAGGAGAAUUGCUUGAACCCGGAGGCGGAGGUUGCAAGUGAGCUGAGAUUAUACUACUACACUUCAACCUGGGCAACAGAGCCAGACUAUGUCUCAAAAAAAAAGAAGAAGAAGAAGAAUGAAAUAAUGUCUUUUGCAGUAACUUGAAGGGAACUGGAGGCUAUUUCUCUAAAUGAAGUAACUUGGGAAAGGGAAACCAAACAUUGCAUGGGAGCUAAGCCAUGGGCACGCCAGGGCAUAUGGGGUGGUUAAUGAACACUGGAGACCCGGAAGUGGGGAGGGCGUGGGUUUGAGGGAGGAAAAGUGCCUGUUGGGUACAGUAUCCACCACUUGGGUGAUGGGUGUGCUAAGACCUCAGACUUCACCACUGUACAAUUCAUGCAUGUAACCAAAUGCCACUUGUACCCCUACAGCUAUGUAAAUAAUAAAAUCAAAGAAAUAUUCUUUUAAAAAGAAAAACAAAAAGAAGGUGUCUGGUUUUUAAAAAUCUAACC